rnacentral:lncRNA from 1 species
GCUGCAAGCUUUAUCGUGCCGACGGGACCUUCAUUUGCUCUGCAACUUAAUCAUACUUCAUCUUCUAUUCCAAUCAGGAUAUCGUCUUAAUUGUGUAAUCCACAAUUCUUUACUUAUCAUAUUCUUAGAUUCUACAUCUGCCCUUCAAAUACAGCAUCUCAAAUACAUUAAAUAACCCCGGCCCCUUAAAAAAGUAAAUUAACUUUCUUAUUUUAUAAGUAUCGUUGUAUCCUCUAUGAAAAAUGUACUUUGUGUAUUAAUGUGAGCUACUUGUAAGAGUUGUAAUCAAUAUUUAUGCUAUCCAUUGUUUUAAGGUCUUAUUUAUAAUCAAGAAUACCUCACCUCAAAAUAGUGAUAGGAACUAGGAAUUCUCUAUGAGGGCUUGAACUUGUUGAAGUAUAGGCAACGUCCUUUUGUGCGAAUUCUCAUAUUUUGUAUCGAAAAAUCAUAGUUAAAAAUCUCUGGCUUGUCAUCGCCCUCAAACGUAAUCUUGUAGAGAUGAACUAAGUAACCAAUUCACUUGUGUUCUUUUUAUUUUUCGUGAUUUGUGUUUGUUAUUUCUUUACAAUUUUUUUUUUAAUAUUGAAAAUUAAGUAAGAGAUGAAAAUGGUACAAAAAUAACAUAAGUUUAACAAACUAAUAUAACAAACAAUUACAAAUUCUUAAAUAAUUAACAUGGAUGCUACGAAGUCAUAAAACAAGGAUAAAUUCUUUUAUAAAUAAAUGCUUCUACUUUCUUAUAAUUUGAGGGAUUUUUUUUCUAGAAGAUUCAAAAUGGUGUCUUAACCUCUCUCUCUCACACACAAAAUUAGUAGUAUAUCUACAAAAUAAAAAUUAUAGUUUACAUAUACUAAAAUGUAGAGAAAAAUAUUAGUUUACAGCAUGAUAUUAUAUAACUCAAGUAACCAUAGUCACUUUAUCUAAUUUGUCGGACCCUUUAUUUAUUAUCAAAUAUACAACUAGUUUUUUCAAAACACAUGCCCCCUCUACUCAGAAAAAUAUUUCGUGAAGAGACGAAGUAAUUUUUAAUUUAAAGGCCUGGUGGGAUUUUGAAUUGGGUCGGACUAGUCCAAAUUCUCCCGUUAGCCCAUGGGCUAGGAACAGGCCGAUCCGACCCAAAAAACCAUUGAUCCUUACGCACUCUGAAUAGUAAUUUAACGGUGGCACAAGAUUGGUCAUUACAAAAUUGGGUACUCAUGUUAAGAAGGGGAUUGUGAUCGGUUCUAAUGCUGCUAGCAAAGUUUUGGUUCAUAGGAUGUCACUUAUUCCAUUGAAUUCAAGGUUUCCUUUGACCUAAUGGUUAAAAUAGUAUCGUAACUUUCAGAUUUUCAGAAAAAAGAUAUAUUUAGGAAUUUAAAUGACUAUAUUUUUUUUAACAUUUACACUCCUGUUUUGGACCCAAAAUCAAUUAUUCGGGCUUUUGGUGCCACCUAGAGCCCGUUGCUGAGUGCGGCCAUGUCAAUUUUUUGGCAAUUUUCGACAUAGGAGUGUAAAUAUAAAAAAUUGAAGUUAUAGUCCUCAUUUUCAAAUUCAAUAAUGUAUAGUCCUCUUUUUAAAAACAAUGAAAAUUACGGUUCUAUUUUUACAAUUAACAAUUAUAUUUGUUUUAUCUUAAUUAUUUAAUAUCCUAAAGGAAAGCUACAUAUAUGAGUUCAUUAUAAUAUUGAAAGACGUUCAAUGACAUUUUGGUCCGUCCACAAUAUUAUUUCUACUUUCAUUGAUCCACAAACUCCACUUACAAUAAUAGUGGGAGCCAAACUUCACUCAUAACAAUACCCACUACUAUCAACUGUUAUUCACCACUUUCUUAAAACUCAUGCAAUUCAUAAAAUGGAACGAUAUCAUGGAUGGAGAGAGUAUAUAUUUAUAAAAGGGCAUUUUUUUUUUAUAGUAGUGACUAUUAUUAUUAUAUUUUUAUUUAUGUGGUUAGAAUUAAUCUUUGCUUAAGCAAAAUGAUUAUUUUAAUAUUUGUCUCAAGUCUUUUUAAAUUCAUUUUAUAGAUUAUCUUGUAGAUUGUUAAUAGCUACUAAAUUUUCAUUGUAAAUGCAAUAUAGGCCUAUGUGUAAAGUUAACAAAAAUAUAAUUAAUAUUGUAGUAUCUACACUUAUCUCCACACUUACAUUGAUUGUACUUUAACUCUUGACUGAGUCUCAUAUUCAGAUAUAGCUCAGGGCUUUUUCCAAUAUUCAAAGGAAUCUUUAAGCUAAAUAAAGUUCGUGAAAUUAAUCUUUACUUAAAUUUAAUUACUUCAUCUAAUUCAGCAAAAUCUUAGCAAAGUUAACCAUACGAAUUAUACAUUUUCAUAUAUCUUAAACUUGGUGGUCAGUAGAUUGGAUGUCAUGUCUAUAACUGAUUGAGUCAAUCGGGUCUAUGUUCUAACUUCAUAAAAAAUAGUGAAAAUUCUUUGAUAAUAUAAAACCAUACAAUUAGCUUGUUUCCAACAUAAACUAAAAAGAAAAAAAAAAAACCUAUAACACAAAUAAUAUCGAUAUAAUUGACAAAAAUAAAAUAAAAAAUAAUUCAAAAUCUAAGAGGUUUUUAAAUACAAAUCUAACUCAUUCCACAUUCUUAAAAGAAUUGAAUAUUACAAGAGGUUAUAACAUCUAUAAUCUAUAGUAUAUAAAUUAAAAUAUGAUAUCAAAACAAUAACAAAAUAUUAAUUAUUCAAGAUCCAAUUAAUUAUAUUUAGGGGUAUUGGCCUGUAAAUACUCUAACUUUUCUCAUUUUAUGGUUUUGCGCCUCAACUUUAAAAUCUGCCUAUAAAUACCUGAACUUUGUAGUCUUUCUAAUUUUCCACCCAACGAAUUUUUACCCCAAAGUCGUUGCUAAUAACAUGGCACCCGAAUUGACAUCUCAAAUCUAUAAUUACAUAUUCUAAAUCCGACAUUGACAACAAACUUAUCUGCUUCGUUAUAAANACCCUCAAACGUAAUCUUGUAGAGAUGAACUAAGUAACCAAUUCACUUUGUUCUUUUUAUUUUUCGUGAUUUGUGUUUGUUAUUUCUUUACAAUUUUUUUUUUCAAUAUUGAAAAUUAACUAAGAGAUGAAAAUGGUACAAAAAUAACAUAAGUUUAACAAACUAAUAUAACAAACAAUUACAAAUUCUUAAAUAAUUAACAUGGAUGCUACGAAGUCAUAAAACAAGGAUAAAUUCUUUUAUAAAUAAAUGCUUCUACUUUCUUAUAAUUUGAGGGGUUUUUUUUUCUUAGAAGAUUCAAAAUGGUGUCUUAACCUCUCUCUCUCACACACAAAAUUAGUAGUAUAUCUACAAAAUAAAAAUUAUAGUUUACAUAUACUAAAAUGUAGAGAAAAAUAUUAGUUAAAGUUUGAGAUCAACAAACUGAACUGCCACAAAUAAAAUAGGACAUGUUUUAAAACUUAUGAAUCUUAUCUCAAUAGUUUACACUCU